rnacentral:rRNA from 1 species
AGGAUGAACGCUGGCGGCGUGCCUAACACAUGCAAGUCGAACGUCCUGUCUCGCAAGAGGCAGGGAGUGGCGGACGGGUGAGUACCACGUGGGUCAUCUACCGUGAGGUGAGGAAUACCGGCGAGAAAUCGCCGACAAGACCGCAUAGGCUCGAUGCAAGUCGAGCAAAGCUCUUUCGAGAGAGGGAGCGCCACACGAGGAGCCUGCGCCCGAUUAGCUAGCUGGUGGAGUAACGGUUCACCAGGGCGACGAUCGGUAGCUGGUCUGAGAGGACGAUCAGCCACACUGGGAUUGAGAACGGCCCAGACUCCUACGGGGGGCAGCAGUGAGGAAUUUUCGUCAAUGGGGGCAACCCUGAACGAGCAACGCCGCGUGCAGGAAGAAGGUUUUCGGAUCGUAAACUGCUUUUCUCGGGGAAGAGAAUGGACGGUACCCGAGGAAUCAGCCCCGGCUAACUACGCGCCAGCAGCCGCGGU